UCAAAGUGGUCGAAACAAUGAAAUUCGAUAAAAUAUUGAAACAAUCGUUUGUCCACUCUGAUUGACGGUUAAAUUUCAUUUCAAAACCGUCGUGAUUAAAAACAAAAUUCACAUUUUUGUUUGUUUCUUGACAUUAAAUCUGAAUACAUUGUUAACGACGACCACAAACAUUCAGACGAUUUAUUGAGAAGCACAAACUGCUUUUGUGCAUUUUUUUAAAUUUCUAUGAAUUGUAAAAGUGUGCAAUCAAUAUUAGAUUUUAUUUUUUAGCGAUUGAAUUGAAUGGAUCUGAAAUUGGUGCCAUAAAAUUUUGUUAACAAAGCAUAAACCAAUUUCGUUUUUGAUAAUUAGUUUAAAUGAAGUAGUUUUCCAGGUCCAACAAAGUGAAUAUAAACAAUCGCACAUUCAUAUUAUUAUUUCAGUAAUUUUUGUUCUAGCUAACAAAGUAAAUGCCUAUAUUAAAAAUAUUCUUUCAUCUGUUGUUGAUAUUCGUCUAGCUCGCAUAUGGCGAUAAUCCGAAAAUUUCAUAUUGAACAAAUUUCAACAAUAGAUUCAUCGAAGAAAUAUGUUUGAUUUUUUUUCUGUGCGCAAUCUCAUAUAUGCCGCUAAUUUCAGCUGUAUCACGAACAUAGUGUGUGUUUUAUUAUUGUGUAUGAGCAUCAUACGAUACAGCUGCUCUAUUCCCCUUCAUUCACACAAAGAACGAGCGUUGAGUAUUCACAUAUGAAUGAAAUUCAGUCAUCGUUCUGCUUUCGGCGUGUAUAGACAUCACACACUCAAAUCCAAAGUGAAACUAAAUUACAUCUUAGUUGAGAAUGAUGGCUCGUGCUUUCGUCAAAUGGUUGGAAAUCCAGUCCUUUCUUAUUCAUUUCUAAAAUUCGUUAUCGAGUGUAAAUGAAUUUCUGGCGAUUUAAAAAUCUCGAUUUUCUCAUUUAUUGAAAAAUCAAUAUAAAAACAUAAAUCGAGAAAAAAAAUGGCGAAAAUUUUUUUUUGCCACGUCAGGAUUCGAACCUCGAUUCGAAAAAACCAUCGGAACUGUGAAAAAAAUUGGAUUUUCAUAGAAAAUGGUAAAUGAAAUUACAAGAAAAAGGCCGCUUAUCGGAGAGAGAGAGACGAUAAUUAGGUAUAAUUGGGGACUGACCUUUUUCCGCCCUUUGAGAUAUUGCAUCAAAGCACUUCCAAGAGGCAUGCAUCUAGAAGACACUUAUAGCACCAGCUCAUCCCGCCGCUGGUUGAGACCUUAACGACUCGGCUAUCUUCCCUUGGCGAUGAAAGUGCGCUAAAGUCGCAUCACAUAUUUUGGACAGUUCACAGCUGACAUUGACAUUGUACAAAGCGACUUGCAUGUGCGCAUUUAACAACUAAAUACAUCCAAACAAUCGUCAAACUAAA